CGUAUCACCCAAGACAACUUUGCGGAGUUGACGAUUGACGGAGCGAAGCGACGUCAAAGCGUUCAUUAAAGUCGAGUUGGCUUAGGGAUACGUUCGUUGGGUAGGGGAGCGUUCUGUAAGCCUGUGAAGGUGGCCUGUGAGGGUUGCUGGAGGUAUCAGAAGUGCGAAUGCUGACAUAAGUAACGAUAAAGCGGGUGAAAAGCCCGCUCGCCGGAAGACCAAGGGUUCCUGUCCAACGUUAAUCGGGGCAGGGUGAGUCGACCCCUAAGGCGAGGCCGAAAGGCGUAGUCGAUGGGAAACGGGUUAAUAUUCCCGUACUUGGUGUUACUGCGAAGGGGGGACGGAGAAGGCUAUGUUGGCCGGGCGACGGUUGUCCCGGUUUAAGCGUGUAGGCUGGUUUUCCAGGCAAAUCCGGAAAAUCAAGGCUGAGGCGUGACGACGAGGCACUACGGUGCUGAAGCAACAAAUGCCCUGCUUCCAGGAAAAGCCUCUAAGCAUCAGGUAACAUCAAAUCGUACCCCAAACCGACACAGGUGGUCAGGUAGAGAAUACCAAGGCGCUUGAGAGAACUCGGGUGAAGGAACUAGGCAAAAUGGUGCCGUAACUUCGGGAGAAGGCACGCUGACACGUAGGUGAAGUGAUUUACUCAUGGAGCUGAAGUCAGUCGAAGAUACCAGCUGGCUGCAACUGUUUAUUAAAAACACAGCACUGUGCAAACACGAAAGUGGACGUAUACGGUGUGACGCCUGCCCGGUGCCGGAAGGUUAAUUGAUGGGGUCAGCGCAAGCGAAGCUCCUGAUCGAAGCCCCGGUAAACGGCGGCCGUAACUAUAACGGUCCUAAGGUAGCGAAAUUCCUUGUCGGGUAAGUUCCGACCUGCACGAAUGGCGUAAUGAUGGCCAGGCUGUCUCCACCCGAGACUCAGUGAAAUUGAACUCGCUGUGAAGAUGCAGUGUACCCGCGGCAAGACGGAAAGACCCCGUGAACCUUUACUAUAGCUUGACACUGAACAUUGAGCCUUGAUGUGUAGGAUAGGUGGGAGGCUUUGAAGUGUGGACGCCAGUCUGCAUGGAGCCGACCUUGAAAUACCACCCUUUAAUGUUUGAUGUUCUAACGUGGACCCGUUACCCGGGUUGCGGACAGUGUCUGGUGGGUAGUUUGACUGGGGCGGUCUCCUCCUAAAGAGUAACGGAGGAGCACGAAGGUUGGCUAAUCCUGGUCGGACAUCAGGAGGUUAGUGCAAUGGCAUAAGCCAGCUUGACUGCGAGCGUGACGGCGCGAGCAGGUGCGAAAGCAGGUCAUAGUGAUCCGGUGGUUCUGAAUGGAAGGGCCAUCGCUCAACGGAUAAAAGGUACUCCGGGGAUAACAGGCUGAUACCGCCCAAGAGUUCAUAUCGACGGCGGUGUUUGGCACCUCGAUGUCGGCUCAUCACAUCCUGGGGCUGAAGUAGGUCCCAAGGGUAUGGCUGUUCGCCAUUUAAAGUGGUACGCGAGCUGGGUUUAGAACGUCGUGAGACAGUUCGGUCCCUAUCUGCCGUGGGCGCUGGAGAACUGAGGGGGGCUGCUCCUAGUACGAGAGGACCGGAGUGGACGCAUCACUGGUGUUCGGGUUGUCAUGCCAAUGGCACUGCCCGGUAGCUAAAUGCGGAAGAGAUAAGUGCUGAAAGCAUCUAAGCACGAAACUUGCCCCGA
rnacentral:rRNA from 2 species